GAAGCUGAAGCUGUGGAGUACUCCCCAGUCACCCUCCAGGACUGGCUUCACAGCAGGAGCAUCAUAGUGCCAGAACCGAUUCCAACUGAGAGCAGUGCCUCUACAACAGGGGACAACUUUGUGGCAUAUCAGGGGGCUUGUGACCAGCUGUGACCGGGUCUAGUGUGGGGAUAUUUGAACUGGACCAUCG